rnacentral:snRNA from 1 species
GUGCUCGCUUUGGCAGUACAUAUACUAAAAUUGGAACAAUACAGAGAAGAUUACCAUGGCCCUUGCACAAGGAUGACAUGCAAAUUCGUGAAGCAUUCCAUAUUUUU